rfam:Myotis lucifugus cont2.46222, whole genome shotgun sequence.
GGUGGUUACUGGGUGACACACCCAGGAAUUGGGCUCCCUCCUCUCUGGUUCCGGGUGGAUCACCCGAGAACCGCA